GUCCACGCCCUAAACGAUGUCUACUAGUUGUCGGGUCUUAAUUGACUUGGUAACGCAGCUAACGCGUGAAGUAGACCGCCUGGGGGAGUACGGUCGCAAGAUUAAAAACUCAAAGGAAUUGACGGGGACCCGCACAAGCGGUGGAUGAUGUGGAUUAAUUCGAUGCAACGCGAAAAACCUUACCUACCCUUGACAUGGAAGGAAUCCCUGAGAGAUUGGGGAGUGCUCGAAAGAGAACCUUUACACAGGUGCUGCAUGGCUGUCGU
rnacentral:rRNA from 1 species